UACGUAGGGUGCAAGCGUUGUCCGGAAUUACUGGGCGUAAAGAGCUCGUAGGUGGUUUGUCGCGUUGUCCGUGAAAACUCACAACUCAAUUGUGGGCGUGCGGGCGAUACGGGCAGACUGGAGUACUGCAGGGGAGACUGGAAUUCCUGGUGCAGCGGUGGAAUGCGCAGAUAUCAGGAGGAACACCGGUGGCGAAGGCGGGUCUCUGGGCAGUAACUGACGCUGAGGAGCGAAAGCGUGGGGAGCGAACAGG
rnacentral:rRNA from 1 species